CCUACGGGGCGCAGCAGUGAGGAAUAUUGGUCAAUGGCCGGAAGGCUGAACCAGCCAUGCCGCGUGAAGGUCAGUGCCCUAUGGGCGUUAAACUUCUUUUGUGCGGGAGCAAUAAUGGUCACGUGUGGCCAGACGAGAGUACCGUACGAAUAAGCAUCGGCUAACUCCGUGCCAGCAGCCGCGGUAAUACGGGGGAUGCAAGGGUUAUCCGGAUUUAUUGGGUUUAAAGGGUGCGUAGGCUGUGAGGUAAGUCAGCGGUGAAAUGCCCCCGCUCAACGGGGUGAAGGGCCAUUGAUACUGCCUGGCUGGAAUGCGGAUGCCGUGGGAGGAAUGUGUGGUGUAGCGGUGAAAUGCAUAGAUAUCACACAGAACACCGAUUGCGAAGGCAUCUCACGAAUCCGCGAUUGACGCUGAUGCACGAAAGCGUGGGUAUCAAACAGGAUUAGAUACCCGUGUAGUC
rnacentral:rRNA from 1 species